rnacentral:lncRNA from 1 species
CGCCGCGACUAGAGCGAAUUCAAUACUGUCAUGAUGCUUUUGAGCACUUUUGGGCUCGUUUUAAUUAUAAUUGAUUAAAUGUAUUUAUUCGUACUUAUAAAAAAUAUAAUUAUAUUAUGUGAGGAAAACAUUGUUCAAACGUAGCCUAUGUAUGUAUAUCUGUUUUUAGUGCUAUGUCUCAAACUUUGAUAUGUUAUUUCCAUAUUAAGGAUAUUAAUUUGAAGCAGAUAAAUACGGGAAUAGUGUUAAUUAAUGUAUUUUCAUUUGUAGCAGGUAAAGACGGGAAUAAUAUUAUUUAGUAUGAUUAAAAUAAAAUGAAAAAAAUAAAUAAAAUGAAAAUAAUGGAAUUCUCUUCACCACCUCAUUUUACACAUUUUAAGGACACAUUUUAUCUUAAAGGAAAUGGAAAUAAAAAUUAGAAAUACACAAAUCAUAUCUAAUUGUAAGUUAGUCACACAAAAUUGCUGCAAAUGUAGAUCUAUAUUCUGUGCAAAUCUUUGUGGGUCCAUCCAACAGAAUUACAAUGGAAAGUGUUAAAACCGUCUGGUCAGCCAUGAUUGUAUUAUAUUAGUUUUUUAAAUUUUUUUUUAUUUAAACACAUAGAUGCAAAGCUUUCAUGGAUGUUACAUAUCAAAAGAACAUACUGAUUCAGAUUAUACAUUUUCAGAAUUGCCUGUCUUGUAACUUCUGUCACAUGGGGGUCAUGUGCAUCUAUGGUUCCAUGAAGAACAUUUAACAUCUAUGGACCGUUUCCAUUCUUCAAAAGCUUCUUUAUAGUGGAAGAAGUUUCCUUUGAUUUUAACAAUGUUCUUCACACUAAGAAAAAAGAACUGUUCACUGAACAGUUCUAUGGGGAACCAAAAUUGGUUCUUCAAUGGAAUCACUGUGAAAACCCCUUUUGGAAUCUUUAUUUUCAAGAGUUUUCAGUUCCUAAUUGGUUAAACCGACGUGUUACAACUCCCCCCGUGUUACAACACUCCCCACUCUCUCUUAUACAAACUUACAAAAGCUAUUUUAAGUGAUAAUGAAUUUAAACCUUUUAGUUUGACCACCGGGUUGGCUGUGUCUAAACGUUGGUCUUGAUAGACUCAUGAAUGUGCUUGUCAAAGAUGGAGUGCUGACACCGCUGAGAGGGGCCGUGGGAAAGCAGACCCUCAGAUUACGCUUUGUGUGACUCCACAGGGGAAUCCCACUAGGAUAUCCUAGUUCUGCGACCCCUUCCUCCUAAUGAAAAGAUGUUUAGAAUGAUACGGCAGGAAGCCAAUUAAAUACGACACAUAGGUUGUUGUAGGGUGACAGAAAGGUUGUGAUAGUGAUCAUGAAAAAGAGUAGUGUGCUGUCUCAACAAGUGAUUUUGAGGCAAAGUUUCUUGACUUGUGUUUAGGAGGACUUUGUGACGAAACCCACCCAGGCGUCAAGUCCAUCUAGCAGCGAGUCUGACAUCAAGAGCCCCGUGGGCAAGAGAGCGGAUUGUGGGGCAUGGAGUAAGUGGGCGCUGAGAGCCUCCCCCCUCCUCCCUCUCUCGGCUGCCAUUGCACUGACUCUCCAUUUCCUUGCAUGUAAGUUAAGACCCUCUGCUGCAGAGGAAUGCUGAGAUUAUGAUCUGUUAUGUUCCAAUAUAGCUAGUCAAGCUUCUCAUCCUUGGCUGUCCAAGGAGACUGUUCAAGUGGAGCAUGGAAAUGUUCCUGUUUUGUUUGAUAAGCUACUAUGCAAAUACACUGAGAUGCAUAGUUUAUUUUAGUGGAUUUAGUGUUCCAAUAAUUGUUAAAUAAUGUGAUUAAAUAAUGUUUAAAAUUUGGGGGUCAGUAAAAUUUGUUAAUAGCUUUGUAAGAAAUCUCUUAUGCUAAACAAAGCUGCAUUUAUUUGAUUAAAAAUACAGUAAAAACAGU